GACGAACGCUGGCGGCGUGCUUAACACAUGCAAGUCGAACGGAAAGGCCCUGCUUUUGUGGGGUGCUCGAGUGGCGAACGGGUGAGUAACACGUGAGUAGCCUGCCCUUGACUUUGGGAUAACUUCAGGAAACUGGGGCUAAUACCGGAUAGGAGCUCCUGCUGCAUGGUGGGGGUUGGAAAGUUUCGGCGGUUGGGGAUGGACUCGCGGCUUAUCAGCUUGUUGGUGGGGUAGUGGCUUACCAAGGCUUUGACCGGUAGCCGGCCUGAGAGGGUGACCGGCCACAUUGGGACUGAGAUACGGCCCAGACUCCUACGGGAGGCAGCAGUGGGGAAUAUUGCACAAUGGGCGGAAGCCUGAUGCAGCAACGCCGCGUGCGGGAUGACGGCCUUCGGGUUGUAAACCGCUUUCGCCUGUGACGAAGCGUGAGUGACGGUAAUGGGUAAAGAAGCACCGGCUAACUACGUGCCAGCAGCCGCGGUGAUACGUAGGGUGCGAGCGUUGUCCGGAUUUAUUGGGCGUAAAGGGCUCGUAGGUGGUUGAUCGCGUCGGAAGUGUAAUCUUGGGGCUUAACCCUGAGCGUGCUUUCGAUACGGGUUGACUUGAGGAAGGUAGGGGAGAAUGGAAUUCCUGGUGGAGCGGUGGAAUGCGCAGAUAUCAGGAGGAACACCAGUGGCGAAGGCGGUUCUCUGGGCCUUUCCUGACGCUGAGGAGCGAAAGCGUGGGGAGCGAACAGGCUUAGAUACCCUGGUAGUCCACGCUGUAAACGGUGGGUACUAGGUGUGGGGUCCAUUCCACGGGUUCCGUGCCGUAGCUAACGCUUUAAGUACCCCGCCUGGGGAGUACGGCCGCAAGGCUAAAACUCAAAGGAAUUGACGGGGCCCCGCACAAGCGGCGGAGCAUGCGGAUUAAUUCGAUGCAACGCGUAGAACCUUACCUGGGUUUGACAUGGAUCGGGAGUGCUCAGAGAUGGGUGUGCCUCUUUUGGGGUCGGUUCACAGGUGGUGCAUGGCUGUCGUCAGCUCGUGUCGUGAGAUGUUGGGUUAAGUCCCGCAACGAGCGCAACCCUUGUUCACUGUUGCCAGCACGUUAUGGUGGGGACUCAGUGGAGACCGCCGGGGUCAACUCGGAGGAAGGUGGGGAUGACGUCAAGUCAUCAUGCCCCUUAUGUCCAGGGCUUCACGCAUGCUACAAUGGCUGGUACAGAGAGUGGCGAGCCUGUGAGGGUGAGCGAAUCUCGGAAAGCCGGUCUCAGUUCGGAUUGGGGUCUGCAACUCGACCUCAUGAAGUCGGAGCCGCUAGUAAUCGCAGAUCAGCAACGCUGCGGUGAAUACGUUCCCGGGGCU
rnacentral:rRNA from 1 species